rnacentral:rRNA from 1 species
GACGGAGGAUGCAAGUGUUAUCCGGAAUCACUGGGCGUAAAGCGUCUGUAGGUGGUCAAAUAAGUCCACUGUUAAAUCUUGAGGCUCAACCUCAAAACCGCAGUCGAAACUAUUAGACUAGAGUAUAGUAGGGGUAAAGGGAAUUUCCAGUGGAGCGGUGAAAUGCGUAGAGAUUGGAAAGAACACCGAUGGCGAAGGCACUUUACUGGGCUAUUACUAACACUCAGAGACGAAAGCGUGGGGAGCAAACAGG